rnacentral:rRNA from 1 species
CCCUUAGAUGUUCUGGGCCGCACGCGCGCUACACUGACGAAUGCAACGAGCUUAUAACCUUGGCCGAAAGGUCUGGGUAAUCUCCAAAUUUCGUCGUGAUGGGGAUAGAUUAUUGCAAUUAUUAACCUUCAACGAGGAAUGCCUAGUAAGCGCAAGUCAUCAGCUUGCGUUGAUUACGUCCCUGCCCUUUGUACACACCGCCCGUCGCUCCUACCGAUUGAAUGGUCCGGUGAAGCGUUCGGACCGUGGCCUUUGGACGGUUCGCCGUCUGUUGGCUGCGGGAAGUUCGUUAAACCUUAUCAUUUAGAGGAAGGAGAAGUCGUAACA